rnacentral:rRNA from 2 species
CACGCCGCGUGAGUGAUGAAGGCUUUCGGGUCGUAAAACUCUGUUGUUAGGGAAGAACAAGUACGAGAGUAACUGCUCGUACCUUGACGGUACCUAACCAGAAAGCCACGGCUAACUACGUGCCAGCAGCCGCGGUAAUACGUAGGUGGCAAGCGUUAUCCGGAAUUAUUGGGCGUAAAGCGCGCGCAGGCGGUUUCUUAAGUCUGAUGUGAAAGCCCACGGCUCAACCGUGGAGGGUCAUUGGAAACUGGGGAACUUGAGUGCAGAAGAGAAAAGCGGAAUUCCACGUGUAGCGGUGAAAUGCGUAGAGAUGUGGAGGAACACCAGUGGCGAAGGCGGCUUUUUGGUCUGUAACUGACGCUGAGGCGCGAAAGCGUGGGGAGCAAACAGGAUUAGAUACCCUGGUAGUCCACGCCGUAAACGAUGAGUGCUAAGUGUUAGAGGGUUUCCGCCCUUUAGUGCUGCAGCUAACGCAUUAAGCACUCCGCCUGGGGAGUACGGUCGCAAGACUGAAACUCAAAUGAAUUGACGGA